UUCUUGUUCUGAUGCUGAUGGAAGGAUGGGAUGGAAAAAGGGAGGGGGCAAUUAAAGUCUCUGUCAGAUCUAAAGGAUCCAAGACAAUUCUCAAAGUAUGUGCAUGGAGGGAAACGAGGUUCAACAGCCCUCUAGAUCCCAUAUCUUCGAUCAGUAUAAAAAUAAACUCAAUACUAGUCCUCUACUUUCGAGUUCGAAUCGAAAUUGGAUUGGACAAAGAGAGUAUUCCAGAUAC
rnacentral:lncRNA from 1 species